rnacentral:rRNA from 1 species
UAGGGAAUCUUCGGCAAUGGGGGGAACCCUGACCGAGCAACGCCGCGUGAGUGAAGAAGGUUUUCGGAUCGUAAAGCUCUGUUGUUAAGGAAGAACGAGUGUGAGAAUGGAAAGUUCAUGCUGUGAAGGUACUUAACCAGAAAGGGACGGCUAACUACGUGCCAGCAGCCGCGGUAAUACGUAGGUCCCGAGCGUUGUCCGGAAUUAUUGGGCGUAAAGCGCGCGUAGGCGGUUUUUUAAGUCUGAUGUGAAAGCCCACGGCUCAACCGUGGAGGGUCAUUGGAAACUGGAAAACUUGAGUGCAGAAGAGGAAAGUGGAAUUCCAUGUGUAGCGGUGAAAUGCGCAGAGAUAUGGAGGAACACCAGUGGCGAAGGCGACUUUCUGGUCUGUAACUGACGCUGAUGUGCGAAAGCGUGGGGAUCAAACAGG